UACGGAAGGCAGCAGUGGGGAAUAUUGCACAAUGGGCGAAAGCCUGAUGCAGCUAUGCCGCGUGUAUGAAGAAGGCCUUAGGGUUGUAAAGUACUUUCAUCGGGGAGGAAAAAACAAAACUAAUAAUUUUAUUUCUUGACGUUACCCGAAAAAGAAGCACCGGCUAACUCCGUGCCAGCAGCCGCGGUAAUACGGAGGGUGCUAGCGUUAAUCAGAAUUACUGGGCGUAAAGAGCACGUAGGUGGUUUUUUUAAGUCAGAUGUGAAAUCCCUGGGCUUAACCUAGGAACUGCAUUUCGAAACUGAAAUACUAGAGUAUCGUAGAGGGAGGUAGAAUUCUAGGUGUAGCGGUGAAAUGCGUAGAUAUCUGGAGGAAUACCUGUGGCGAAAGCGGCCUCCUAAACGAAUACUGACACUGAGGUGCGAAAGCGUGGGGAGCGAAACAGGGAUUAGAU
rnacentral:rRNA from 1 species